rnacentral:rRNA from 1 species
GACGGGCGGAGCUUACCAUGCAAGUCGAGCGGAGAGAAAGUAGCUUGCUACUGGAUCUUACGGCGGACGGGUGAGUAAUGCUUAGGAAUCUGCCUAUUAGUGGGGGACAACGUUCCGAAAGGAACGCUAAUACCGCAUACGUCCUACGGGAGAAAGCAGGGGACCUUCGGGCCUUGCGCUAGUAGAUGAGCCUAAGUCGGAUUAGCUAGUUGGUGGGGUAAAGGCCUACCAAGGCGACGAUCUGUAGCGGGUCUGAGAGGAUGAUCCGCCACACUGGGACUGAGACACGGCCCAAACUCCUACGGGAGGCAGCAGUGGGGAAUAUUGGACAAUGGGCGGAAGCCUGAUCCAGCCAUGCCGCGUGUGUGAAGAAGGCCUUUUGGUUGUAAAGCACUUUAAGCGAGGAGGAGGAACUCUAGAUUAAUACUCUAGAUGUUUGGACGUUACUCGCAGAAUAAGCACCGGCUAACUCUGUGCCAGCAGCCGCGGUAAUACAGAGGGUGCGAGCGUUAAUCGGAUUUACUGGGCGUAAAGCGUGCGUAGGCGGCUUUUUAAGUCGGAUGUGAAAUCCCUGAGCUUAACUUAGGAAUUGCAUUCGAUACUGGAAAGCUAGAGUAUGGGAGAGGAUGGUAGAAUUCCAGGUGUAGCGGUGAAAUGCGUAGAGAUCUGGAGGAAUACCGAUGGCGAAGGCAGCCAUCUGGCCUAAUACUGACGCUGAGGUACGAAAGCAUGGGGAGCAAACAGGAUUAGAUACCCUGGUAGUCCAUGCCGUAAACGAUGUCUACUAGCCGUUGGGGCCUUUGAUGCUUUAGUUGCGCAGCUACGCGAUAGUAGACGCUGGGGAGUACGGUCGCAGACUAAAACUCAAAUGAA